rnacentral:lncRNA from 1 species
UUUUUUUUUUUUUUUUUUUUGAUUUACGUGGGGUGUCCGGGCCAGCUUACGCGCACCACGACUAUUCCCCACGGCCCACUGAACAUCCUGCAAGCCCAGGAGCAGGUAAGGCACCGCGGGGGUGACAGGCGUGCACAUAGAGGGUCGAACCCGGGACGGGGGCGGAACAAGUCACACGGUUGACCACAGCAGCUAGACCCUCAAGUGCU